UGUACGCCUGACUCAGCGUUUGAUAGAAACUGUUGGCUUAAAUUUCAAGUGGCAUUUUGAGGGUGGAUAUUGCAAAAGUCCAGGACCAGUUAAAAAGCUCAGCUCUUAGGAAAUGUCACUCACUCAGACAUGGAAGUCCAACCGAUGAACCGGCGGCAAUCCAUCAUGUGAAGCGUUUCUGUUACACCGCUCAUGUAUUUACUUCAUGGUCGGCAGUGAAAGAGAAUGGACUCUUGUUCUGUUCUGCCAAGGUGUGUGUCAGCAAGAGUACAGCUCAGCCACAAGUGUCUGCUUCUAAUCAACACAAGAGUCUGCUCUGCUGUGGACUUGACUGACCUGAAGGACCUUCAGCGUUUUAUCGGUCUCUUCUACUAGGGUGGCUUCCUCAUUCUCUGGAACUUACAUGUGAUGUUGAAGUCAAGCUGAAAUCUCUGUCUCAUCUCAAAGAGCCUGUCACCAGUUGAGUGAUGUACAGUUUUUAAUUUAUGUCAUGAAAAGAAUCCAACAGGAUUUCCCUCUGGCUUUACUUUACUACUCAUAACAGUUACCUGCAAAUAUCAAGCAACAUAUCCAGAACCUGUCAACAGCUGGAGCUGAUUGACAAAUCAGGGUUCCCAAGAGCUUUUUUAUUGAAAGAUUUGUUUGUUGCAUCUUUAACUACAUCUAACAGUGGUGUCAUGGAUACUGUCACACCAUGGAGUACUUUAAUGUAGUUAUGUGAGGACCUCCUUCUGUCUAGUUGAUCUUGUGAAAGUGAAAAAUAAGUUGCAAUACCAUUUAAAAAUAUUUUGCCACUGCAAAGUUUAAGUUUCCUACUUGCACAGUCAGUUAUUGCUUUGGUAUUUCAGUUGAUCAUGCAUGUGUGUUAAGUUAAACAUUGCCUUCCAGUUCAUUUACCAGCUAUGAAUACUUAUAAACUGUGCAGGAUCAUAGCCAAAAAGUAUCAUCAAUCACAGCACAUUACAUCUCACAGUGAAUGCUUCAGAAGGGGUGCCAAGAUUUACCAAGUGCUAAAUCUGCCAACCAAUAGGAACCCUGGAUCCUAACCUCACAUGAUUGAGAGGCAAACAACCAACAAGAAGAAGUCAAAGUUCUACCUGAAUGUCGAGGGACAUCCAUCAACCUCAACUUCUUCAAGAGGAAAGUCAUUGCCUUCAGCCAGGGAAUGCUUGGUAUAUUGAACAGGCUUUAAAUAAAGUAAUAAAUACUGUCACAUAACAAACCAGUUCUUAAUUUUAUUGACUGUUGUGUCCAGUGUAAUAAGGAUGCUGGUUAAAGUAAUCAAUCAAUCUUUGAAAGUCAUUCUCUUUGAACAAAAGUUGUUCUUUAGCAAACAUUAAAAAUG